rnacentral:rRNA from 1 species
UACGUAGGGUGCGAGCGUUGUCCGGAAUUAUUGGGCGUAAAGAGCUCGUAGGCGGUCUGUCGCGUCGGUCGUGAAAACUUGGGGCUUAACCCUGAGCUUGCGGUCGAUACGGGCAUGACUGGAGUUCGGUAGGGGAGACUGGAAUUCCUGGUGUAGCGGUGAAAUGCGUAGAUAUCAGGAGGAACACCGGUGGCGAAGGCGGGUCUCUGGGCCGUAACUGACGCUGAGGAGCGAAAGCGUGGGGAGCGAACAGG